AGAGUUUGAUCCUGGCUCAGAACGAACGCUGGCGGCAGGCCUAACACAUGCAAGUCGAGCGAGACCUUCGGGUCUAGCGGCGGACGGGUUAGUAACGCGUGGGAACGUGCCCUUCACUACGGAAUAGUCCCGGGAAACUGGGUUUAAUACCGUAUACGCCCUUCGGGGGAAAGAAUUUCGGUGAAGGAUCGGCCCGCGUUAGAUUAGAUAGUUGGUGGGGUAACGGCCUACCAAGUCUACGAUCUAUAGCUGGUUUGAGAGGAUGAUCAGCAACACUGGGACUGAGACACGGCCCAGACUCCUACGGGAGGCAGCAGUGGGGAAUCUUAGACAAUGGGCGCAAGCCUGAUCUAGCCAUGCCGCGUGAGUGAUGAAGGCCUUAGGGUCGUAAAGCUCUUUCGCCAGGGAUGAUAAUGACAGUACCUGGCAAAGAAACCCCCGGCUAACUCCGUGCCUGCAGCCGCGGUAAUACUGAGGGGGUUAGCGUUGUUCGGAAUUACUGGGCGUAAAGCGCACGUAUGCGGAUUAAAAAGUUGGGGGUGAAAUCCCAGGGCUCAACCCUGGAACUGCCUCCAAAACUACUAUUCUAGAGUUCGAGAGAGGUGAGUGGAAUUCCGAGUGUAGAGGUGAAAUUCGUAGAUAUUCGGAGGACAUCAGUGGCGAAUGCCGCUCACUGGCUUCGAUACUGACGCUGAGUGCGAAGUGNGGGGAGCAAACAGGAUUAGAUUCCCUGGUAGUCCACACCGUAACGAUGAAUGCCAGUCGUCAUGGGGCUUGACCUUUGGUGACACACCUAACAGAUUAACAAUUCCGCCUGGGGAGUACGGUC
rnacentral:rRNA from 1 species